rnacentral:snRNA from 1 species
AUACUUACCUGGCAGGGGAGAUACCAUGAUCACGAAGGUGGUUUUCCCAGGGCGAGGCUUAUCCAUUGCACUCCGGAUGUGCUGACCCCUGCAAUUUCCCCAAAUGUGGGAAACUCGACUGCAUAAUUUGUGGUAGUGGGGGACUGCGUUCAUGCUCUCCCCUG